rnacentral:tRNA from 1 species
GUAGAUUUAGUUUAACUAAAAUUUUAGAUUGUGAUUCUGAAGAUAGAGGCUAAUCCCCUCUAAUUUACC